CCUACGGGUGGCAGCAGUGAGGAAUAUUGGUCAAUGGGCGCGAGCCUGAACCAGCCAAGUAGCGUGAAGGAUGACUGCCCUACGGGUUGUAAACUUCUUUUAUACAGGAAUAAAGUGAGGCACGUGUGCCUUUUUGUAUGUAUUGUAUGAAUAAGGAUCGGCUAACUCCGUGCCAGCAGCCGCGGUAAUACGGAGGAUCCGAGCGUUAUCCGGAUUUAUUGGGUUUAAAGGGAGCGUAGGUGGGUUGUUAAGUCAGUUGUGAAAGUUUGCGGCUCAACCGUAAAAUUGCAAUUGAUACUGUCAGGCUUGAGUGCAGUUGAGGUAGGCGGAAUUUGUGGUGUAGCGGUGAAAUGCUUAGAUAUCACGAAGAACUCCGAUUGCGAAGGCAGCUUACCAAGCUGCCACUGACGUUGAUGCUCGAAAGUGUGGGUAUCAAACAGGAUUAGAUACCCCGGUAGUC
rnacentral:rRNA from 1 species